rnacentral:rRNA from 1 species
CACAGGCUGUGAACUCGAAGAGUAGGGCGGGACACGUGGUAUCCUGUCUGAAUAUGGGGGGACCAUCCUCCAAGGCUAAAUACUCCUGACUGACCGAUAGUGAACCAGUACCGUGAGGGAAAGGCGAAAAGAACCCCGGCGAGGGGAGUGAAAAAGAACCUGAAACCGUGUACGUACAAGCAGUGGGAGCACCUUCGGGUGUGACUGCGUACCUUUUGUAUAAUGGGUCAGCGACUUAUAUUCUGUAGCAAGGUUAACCGUAUAGGGGAGCCGAAGGGAAACCGAGUCUUAACUGGGCGUUAAGUUGCAGGGUAUAGACCCGAAACCCGGUGAUCUAGCCAUGGGCAGGUUGAAGGUUGGGUAACACUAACUGGAGGACCGAACCGACUAAUGUUGAAAAAUUAGCGGAUGACCUGUGGCUGGGGGUGAAAGGCCAAUCAAACCGGGAGAUAGCUGGUUCUCCCCGAAAGCUAUUUAGGUAGCGCCUCGUGAACUCAUCUUCGGGGGUAGAGCACUGUUUCGGCUAGGGGGCCAUCCCGGCUUACCAACCCGAUGCAAACUACGAAUACCGAAGAAUGUUAUCACGGGAGACACACGGCGGGUGCUAACGUCCGUCGUGAAGAGGGAAACAACCCAGACCGCCAGCUAAGGUCCCAAAGUCAUGGUUAAGUGGGAAACGAUGUGGGAAGGCCCAGACAGCCAGGAUGUUGGCUUAGAAGCAGCCAUCAUUUAAAGAAAGCGUAAUAGCUCACUGGUCGAGUCGGCCUGCGCGGAAGAUGUAACGGGGCUAAACCAUGCACCGAAGCUGCGGCAGCGACACUCUGUGUUGUUGGGUAGGGGAGCGUUCUGUAAGCCGUUGAAGGUGGCCUGUGAGGGUUGCUGGAGGUAUCAGAAGUGCGAAUGCUGACAUAAGUAACGAUAAAGCGGGUGAAAAGCCCGCUCGCCGGAAGACCAAGGGUUCCUGUCCAACGUUAAUCGGGGCAGGGUGAGUCGACCCCUAAGGCGAGGCCGAAAGGCGUAGUCGAUGGGAAACAGGUUAAUAUUCCUGUACUUGGUGUUACUGCGAAGGGGGGACGGAGAAGGCUAUGUUAGCCGGGCGACGGUUGUCCCGGUUUAAGCAUGUAGGCGGAGGUUCCAGGUAAAUCCGGUACCUUUUUAACGCUGAGGUGUGAUGACGAGGCACUACGGUGCUGAAGUAACAAAUGCCCUGCUUCCAGGAAAAGCCUCUAAGCAUCAGGUAACA